rnacentral:tRNA from 1 species
UCGGCGGCCGGCUCGGCCUUGUCGGCCUGGGCCUCGUCGUGGCCCGGGGUGACCUCGGUGCUGCCCGGGGCGUCGGC